CGGCUAGCGCAGAUAACCCUCGUGUAGCUUUGUGCGAAAUUUAAAACAAAACAAACAAACCGUAGUACAUAAAAAAACUUGAAUCUUUGUGCGACUCCUGCCUCGGAGAUGAAGAUGUUUGAGAAGGUGUCAUUUAUUCUAACCAGCGAAUAAUUUCAGUUGGCCAUUUUGGACAUUUUAUAUCUAAGACCGUAGUGACAAAUUCUGUCGAAUGCUUUCUUUAAGUCGACGAAACACCCAACCGUGCAGUGGUUUUUAUAAGCCCUUCUUUCUCAUGGCGGACAAAGCAACUGAAGAGAACUGGUGAAUUGCAAGAUUAGGAACACAGAGAGGAAUCUACUCAGAUAUAUAUGUAUAUGAUGUUUGCUGAUCUUCUUUUAUUUCGUUAUAAUAUCUCCCAAAAACAGGUUAUUUCACACCUACUCUAAGGAAAAAGGACUUUGGUAUUGAAAUGUGGGACGAGAAGAGAUGAAAUAUUGUGUGAAUACAUGCACACAGUAUUCGUCCUGCUGAAGCAAGGAACUUUUUUUUUAUCAAUAAUUGGAUCUCGUUGGUCUAUAUUAUUCCAUUUCAAAUAUGUUUACGACUCAAAUAAUUACAAAAGUAUAAAAAACAAGAAAAAUAAUUUUCAACUUUAGUUCAACAACAUUACAACUGAACAUUACAAAAGGCAGAUUAAUCGAGAAAUAUUCUAUAAUUGACUUUGUAAGUUAUAAUAGUUGCUAUAGUUUUGAUUGUGUUCGGUGAAUUAUGUUGUUAAAAGAUAUAUGUAUAUACAUUUUUAACACUGAUGUGUUCAGGAUUUAUUCAUUUCAAUAUAAUAACCUUUGCAGAUCUGUUCGUUUUUAAAAAAUAACCUGAUGCGUAUGUACUAAUGUUUUAUUUAUUCGGUAUAUUCCAGUGAACUUUCAAAUAAUGAACUAUUAAACGCAUGCACUGAAUUAAAUGACCAUUAACUAAAAGGCUACUACCACAAAGUUAGGAUAAAAAUGGAAUAAUUAAAUCAGCACAAAAGAAGCACUUAGAGUAGACUUAUUCACAAUUUAUUAAAUGUUAUUAAUUCAGUUAUACAUAAACAGUUGUCGGAUAAUGCUUUUCAAAUACUUAGUUUUUAAAGAAACCCAAACUCUGAAUUAUACCAGCUCAAAAUGAUUGCCAAAAAAAUCUUUAUUCGUGAUUAUAACAUUUAAAAAUCGUAUUAUUAUGAAAACUCUAAACGGCUGAUAUGUCAUAUCGUGAUAUAUAGUUCGAGAGAACCUUGAAUAUUAAACUAUUUCAGUUGUAUGUAUCCCAGCAGUAUUAGUCGAAUAAUAAAUCAAGUUUGGACUAUGA